rnacentral:lncRNA from 1 species
AUUCUCCGCGGCGCCGAGGCGAGUGCCGACUGCGGUGCCUGUCCGCCAGCUUGUUCGCUCGCUCGCCCGCCGGCGCGCGGGCUGUGUGACGGAUCGCUGGGGAACGGGCUGGCAGCUCUACCCCCUGCAACAGCUCUUCGGUUUUUUCCUUGACCGCCUUCCUUGUUGAGUCGCGAUUCCCUGGGAGCAGGAGACACGCACCAGGGGCUCGGAGCGCCGCACUCCAGGGCUGGGGCAGCUGCAGCGCUCGGGACUGCGCGGCCGGGUGCAGCCUCUGUCGCUGUCGCCGCCGCCGCGCGGUGCGCCUUGGCGAGUGUUGGGCUCCGGGCAUCUCGGAGCCCAGGCAGCUGGUGCAGAGCGCCAGCGCCUCUCCCCGCACUGGCCGCCGCCGGGGCAGUGCGGAGCCAGCCAGGCUGUGCACAGCCGGAGCGCGGGUCCCCCCGAAGAAGGCUCCCUAUCGCCUGCGUCCCAGUAAGUUGACUGUAGUUUCUGAAGUUGGAGAGCGCCGUGGGAAGGGGAGGUUCGCUUUUACUAUCUUCACGCCGUGGGAAGCCGGGGGUGGCCCCUCUUGUUAGCAGGGUUCCAGCUUGGGGAGUUCAGGGUGCGAAGCCGUGGACAGAGCGCGCGGGGAGAGGCAGCGGUGCAGCGCGGGCUGGCUCCAGCCUUUGCUGAACGUGCCAGUUGGAAAUGUGCUGUGAGAGGACAGGUGCUCCGAGGGCAUUUCGCCUGCUGCUGAUUGCACAUUCCGACCCCAUUGAAUGUGUGUGUGUGUGUGUGUGUGUGUGUGUGUGUGAGAGAGAGAGCGUGCGGGGUGGGGGGGGGCGGUUCUUGUCACCUCCAUCCCAGGUCCCCAGGGGAGUGACUCCAGUAAUAUUCCUGGGUGCAUUCGCUCUUUGGGGAUGGGAGCUAAGUCAUUCCUUCUCAGGCUUCCAGGCUUCCAGGCUUCCAGGCUUCCCGGCUUCCCGCGCACAUCCCACUUUACUCUUCCCCCUAGGCAGAAGUUGCCACCGUUUCCGUAAUUGGAGCCCAAUCCUUCAAGGAAAAACAACUUAUAUAUCAACCCAGACUUUUGCGCCAUAAGGCAGAUAAAAUGAGAAAUCGGCGCAGUGUAUGUGAUUUCAUACACUGUAAGGAUGUGGGCAAGUCUCAAAGCAGUGGAAUUGAGAUGAUGACACUUGGGUCUCACCCUGACUGUCCUGCACCUCUUAUGUAAGCCUCUCGGCAGGAUAACUGUGACUCUCUGCAGUGGCUGCAGCUGUGGCUCUUCAUUCCAUUUGUUUAAAGUCCAGCUUGAAUGUAUUUAAUGAAAAUGCUGACAUGAUAUAGCGCCCUGUAGUCUGAAACAGAGUGCACUCUUCGGAUUGGAGUGUCUUCUCCUAAUAGGGAGCGUUCGAGGAAAAACCCAGUAUAUUUUUCAAGGCAGCUCCAGGAAUUAGACACAUAAAUCAUGUUUUAAAAUAGCAGGCAUUGUGCAGGGAGCUUGCAGAGGACCCUUUGAACACAUCCCUUUUGUUUUAGAAAAAGUGGAAAUUGUUCAUACCAGGCAGUUGUUGAGUCUGAAAGUUAAGUGUUCUGAUGGGCUUAAUUAUCUUAAUAAACAAAGAGCAUGAUUUAUAGGUAGCUGCCCUGGCCUUCUUUGAAGGAUAGAAUUCUUUAACCUUUCUCUCUCAUCUGUCCCCCAGAGAUUUCUUUUAAGCAGAACAAUAGAUUAUCAUCACUGAUGUUUAAUAUUGGAGUUGAUUAAAUUUGUACAAGGAAUACUUUGAAAUACCACGAGGUACUGCUGUGACUGUUAAGACAGAGAAUAUUAGAAAUAAGGAGACUUCAGGUUUUUUUUGGUAUGGAAGUCAUUAGUUUAACAAAACAAAUAACAUUAAGACUGGCCUAAUAUAUCUUUUUAAAAAUUUGGACUUGUAAUAAACGUUGAAACCAAAAACUCAGGGUUGUGUUUUAGUGUAAGGUUUAUUUACGUAAUCUCGACAAAAAGAAGCACAUUUAUUUAUGGUAUUCUAGCACAUGGAACAAGAUGAACUAGUUAGAGGCACCUCAUUUAAAAACAUAUCAUCGUUUUUUAAGGAAGUCUAAGAAAAUACACAAAAUGUUAUUUCAAAAGUUGCAAAGUUAGUCAACACAUUAUAAUUGAUGAGAGCAUCUGCUGCUUAUCUCUAGAAGGGAUUAUAUCUGAGCAUGGAAGCUGAAACAAGUGGACCCCCAUAUGCACUCCUUCAUCAUGGUUCUGAGGACAGACUGGGGAGCCAUGCCGAUGGCUCUGGUGCCAUCUGUUUGAAUCUGGACAAGUUACUUAAACUUUGUGCCUCAGUGUCUUCAUCUGUAAAAUGAGGCUAAUGGUACCUCCAUCACUGGCUUGUGGUGAGGAUUGAGUUCAUAGAGGUAAUGCCACUGAACCAGUGUCUGGCUUAUUAAACUGGGUAAAAAUGAUCACUGUUAAGAAAGGAAGAGUGUCUUUGGAUCCUGCAGCCAUCAAAUGGUUGCUGAAGAAGGCUAACAGAAGCAGUUCAUAUGUUUAAUAGGAGAGCAGGUACAUUUAUUCAACACCUCCUGGUAAUGCAGACACCAGCUGGCAUCUGACUUACUCUCCCUUUUAAUUCCUCACCGAGGUAGGUGGCUUCAUGGCCACUCUGGAGAUGAGGAAACUGGAGCUCAGCAAGAUCAAAUAGGAGAAAUCGCAGCUCAAAUUUUAACCCAGGUCUGUCUCUUUCCAAUCCUGUCCUUUUUGGCCCAAGUUGAGGACUUGCGCAGUGCUUUUUCCAUCUCUUCUCCUUUCAUCCUCAUAAUAACAUAAUUAAAUAUGUGCAUCCUUAUCUUGAACUUACAGAUGAGGAAAUUUGCGUUGAGCAGUAAAGAAUGCAAAGUGCUUAACUCACAGCAGAGUUCUCCAUGACUUGGAGGGAUUAUUAUUGUCAUAAUUAGCACGGGGUAGAGGUGCCAGCAGGUGGAGUUUUCUUCUUUGGUUUGAGGUGGAUUUCAUUGCUAAGUACUUCCCUAUUUAUCGAUUCAGAGAAAAAGAAAAUGGGAUGUUACAGGUCCCCCUGGAGGACCGCAGUCCCAGGUGUGUUUCCUGGCUGCAGAUCUAGCUGUGGCGUCCCCACGGCCUGGCGAACCGCAGGCAGGUCAUUGAUCCACAGUUACUGUCAUCUCUGGGCGUGUUCGGUCGCAGCUGGGCAGAGAGAGAGAGAGGCCUGGCACUUUGCUACACGUUGUACUGUAUGUUCAGAAAUGGAAGUAAUUUCUCUUUCAUAGUAGAGAAGCGGGCUUCCUUUCGGCCUUAGUACCAGUGUGGUGGGGAGGCAGUUUCAGGGGUCCUGUGUGAGCAGUACAGUUGACCCUCCAUAUUCUCAGGUUCCACAUCAUCUGUGGAUUCAGCUAACUGUGGAUUGAAAAUAUUUUUUAAAAAUUCCAGGAGUUCCCGUCGUGGCGCAGUGGUUAACGAAUCCGACUAGGAACCAUGAGGUUGCGGGUUCGGUCCCUGCCCUUGCUCAGUGGGUUAACGAUCCGGCGUUGCCGUGAGCUGUGGUGUAGGUUGCAGACGCGGCUCGGAUCCCGCGUUGCUGUGGCUCUGGCGUAGGCCGGUGGCUACAGCUCCGAUUCAACCCCUAGCCUGGGAACCUCCAUAUGCCGCGGGAGCGGCCCAAAGAAAUAGCAACAACAACAACAA